CUGCUCCUCCCACCCCCAUCCACCGAAACCCUAAGGAGAAUCCCCGUCCACUCGGCGUCUAAUAACCCACUCCCCGCUCCGCACAAUUAACAGUCUUCAUACCUACCCAGCCCUUUUAUGAAGCUGAUCACACAGGACCGUCUCCAACAAGCUGCUGUAAUCUCCAUGGGCCUGAAAAGGAACCCACACUCCCAGUCUGGGACGGUUACACAGACUAGGUUCCAAAGCAGAACAGAAGGCUGGACUCCAUGAUCCCGCGGCUCUCUGCCACCAUCAAGUGUCUCGGCCACAAGAUACCAAUCAUCAGACAACAUUUGGGAAAUGCCAGGGAGAAAGAAGUAGAAAAAGGAACUAACAUUAGUGAGACAUGGACCUGGAUUCAGGACUUCAGUAAAUAUUUGAUACUGAUCUCAAAGAAGCCGGAAUCCUGCUGGCUGGCCAUGUCGGCGGCAUACAAAGAGGCUCCUCGGACCGGACUGGGAGCCGCUGAGGAGCAGGUACCGGGCGUGGAGAUGUGCCUGUCACAGGUAUGAUCACUUGUUUAUAGUUACCUACCAACAAAGGCUGAAGGACUAGGAAUCAAGAAGCUUAUUCUGCUCCUAAUUCUGACCCUGAUACUCUGACCUUGGACAAGUUACUUUUCUACCAAAUGAAGGAUGUUGCUUCUUACCACCAAACUGCCUCAUCUCUUGGACAGCCCAGCCUUUGAGUUUCCAUACUAUUGGGAGGAACCACGCAUGAUGAAAGCAGGACUCUGGGCAAUAAACUAUUUUAUGAGAUGAUGACACAGACAUACACGGAGAAAAGAUCACGUGAAGACACAGGGAGAAGACGGCCAUCUGCAAGCCGAGAAGUAACCAAUCCCGACAACGCAUUGAUCUUGGACUUCCAGCCUCCAGACCUCUGAGCCAACUUCUGCUGCUCGCCGCACCCAAGAUGUGGUACUUUGUUACGGCAAACUAGUGUGUGUGUUUAACAUUUGCUGGCUCCCAUCAACUCGACUUCCGAAUUGCUAACAUCCUGCUGGGUGCCAAGAGUAACACGACGCAUGGAGCCACAAUGGCAACUUCCACAGCCCAACACAUGUCUGGGCAAACUCCUUCCAGCCACCAUCACUACCACCACUAUCCUUUCUCGGCCACCUCCUGGACCACUCCCCUGAUGCCUCCCUUCCAACGUAUUAUGUUCGUUGCUACCUCCAAACUGUGCAUUCAUGGUGGCUCUCGGACAGAUAUGAGAUCCAGAUAUGAAUAUUAAAAUAUGGAUUUUUUAAAAAGAAAUUAUAUGGGUAGGUGAAUUGUAUUAUCUUUCAAUUUCAUUUCAGAAAAAUAAAGGGGAUGUGACAAAAUAUUUGUAAUAAAAGGGAAGUGGAGUCUAAGAGGUUGAGAAUCACUAGUUCUAGGCUCCAAAAAAAUUUAAAGACAAAAUUCCUGAUACUAACAGGUUAAAUUCCUUUUUUCGAGUUUUUCCCCUUUUAUCUCUGCAUGGCACGAUGGGGCUUCCUACAGUCAGCUGUGCUUCUGCGCCUUGGACAUUUUCAGCAGCUCCCAUUUGACCUCUGAGUUCUCCCUGCAGUGAGUGACAUCGGUGUGGAUUUGGGAAAAGAGAAUAAAGGCAGACAUAGAUGAAGAGAGAAAAAUUUUACCAUAAACUGCCACGUAGAACAAGCCAUUACAGUCCACCUAAGAGGAAUGAAAAAAAUCACUCAAGAGAGGAGUCAGAAGAUCUGGGUUGCUUCUGAGUCGGAGAGCAUCCCGGCCUGUGGUCCAUUUCCGAGGUGACACUUGAUGCCUUCUGUGGCCGCCAGGAGAAGUCACUCAGCAGCUUAAUCUAUGCAACCAGGCCACUGUGUCAUGGCCUGGCCGUGACACUCACCAAUGUGCAGGAGACGAGAUUUGAUUUACUGUGUUCUUCUAAGUCACAUUCUAGAAUAUUCUGGGAGAAAACGUGACCCCUAGAGGAGAGGUUUUCUCAUGGACAAAUAAGGUAAUCUUUACGAACAGGGAGCAUAUUUCCCGUCAGCCUGGCCUCUGCUCUUAGAAGAAUUUAUUCUAUGUGAUUAAGAAUUCAUCUCAAAAUGCUCCCGCACACUCGGCUGAGUGAGGAUGCCAGCACAGCCCUGGGAGUAGAGAUUCUCCAUUAAAUGCUAUCUUAGGGGCGAGCAAGAAAGUGCUCUAAAGUUGUUUUUCAAUGGUGUACCCCCUUACCCCCUUUUCCAGAGGAAACACAAAACUCACAAAAUAUCUGUCAAGAAGCAAAAUACAAUCUACGUAUUUUAAAAAGAAUCUAAAAGUAAUUCUUAUCAGAAAAUGGCAUGGUAAUUUCAAGGAAAAAUAGAAUUUAGGCCUCAUCUAUGUAUUAAAGCUGAAUUAUAAGAGAAAAUUACAAUAACGCCUGAUACGAGGUGAUUCAAGAUAUUUUCAUGAGCCCAUGACUACGUUAUGUGGUCUGAGGUUCCUAUAUUUUAUAUAUUUUAAGUAGAGGAAAAAUUCAACCCAUUUUGCAAAUUAGGAGAGUGGGGCUCGGAAAAACCAGUUCCUCCUUUGAAAUGGGCAGUAGAAAGACGGCCCGAAGGCGAAAGCCCAUCUCAUACAUUUGAAGGGCUGGGGAUCCCCCCUUUAGGACUGCCAGCCUGUGUCGUGCUGUCCACGGGGACACGCUGUCCACGGGGACAUGCUGUCCAUGGGUACGUGGCAGGCUCCGGCCACAGGCUCAGCUGAGCACACACUUCCUGACAAACACCAUGGGCAGACGCCCCAAAGUGGUGUCCGGAGUCCUCCGGCCCAGCUAGGAGUCCUGCUCCGUCCCAUCCUAGCCACAUCCCUGGGAACAUCACUAAACCCUCCUGAGCCCUAGGUUUCUAUAAACUGAGAUCCUAGUAACAGUCUAUCUCAAAGGGUCAUAAUGAGGAUUAUAUUGAUCCACAGUAAAAACUUGAAAACGCCAUUCAUCCUUCUUACUCCUUUUGCAAAACCGGAAAUCUCUCUCGUCACCAAAUACACUUCUAACAUAAAAAAUAAAACCCUCUCAUCACCAAAUCUACUUCUAGCAUAAAAAAUAAACCUACUCAGGACUGUCAAGGCAGAACUGAAACAGGAGAAAGGAUCUGAUUAUAAAUGACGUUAAGAAAAGACACGGGCAUGUGCACAGAUCCCGGGGUUUUACACUUCAUGAAUUCAUGUUACAGACACAAGCCGAGACUCACUGGCAAGGAGAAAUAGGUCCUUGACUAAAACCCAGGUCCCUACCAGAGAACAAGCCAGCCGAGGGGAGGGCCAGGGGCCCCCGGGUGUUCACAGAUCCCAGCCUCCCACUGGAUUGCUGGAACCUUAAGAUGUACAGGCCUUCAUGGCCUUUACACUGUCUGCAUCUCUUGACUAUUUGAUUUAGUUAUUGUAUUAUCUGCUUGGAUAAAUGUCUUUUGCAAAGUCACAACUGAUUUGUUUUCCUGUUAUUUCUUCAUAUUCUAAUGUCCUUUUGAGAAAGUCAUAAAAGGCUGCAGACUCCAGCUUCUGGGGAUAACUCUCAAGACUAACUUUCCCAUAACACAAGCUCAUUCACCGCAAC